GACGCAGGACCCCGUAGGCUGCUGGGAGGAGUGUGGAUUGUCCUCUAAGUGGCAUGAGAAGCCAUUGAAGGGUUUUUUGGUUUUUUUUUUUUUUGAGACGGAGUCUCGCUGUCGCCCAGGCUAGAGUGCAGUGGCACAAUCUUGGCUCACUGCAACCUCCGCUACCCGGGUUCAAGUGAUUCUUCUGCCUCAGCUUCCCGAGUAGCUGAGAUUACAGGUGCCCUGCCACGACGCCCAGCUAAUUUUUGUAUUUUUAGUAGAGACUUCUUCACCAUGUUGGCCAGGCUGGUCUCGAACUCCUGACCUCAUGAUCUACCUGCCUCGGCCUCUUAAAGUGUUGGGAUUACAGGCGGCAUGAGCCACCCCGCCUGGCCCAUUGAAGGGUUUUGAGGUCUAAUGAGAGUAGCAGUCCCUGAUCUCAAGGAAGCUCUGUGGGGAGGAGGAUACUGCAAUAGUCCAAGCAGAAGGGUGAUCCGGACCAAGUUGGGGCCUGAAGUGGUUGAAGAGAGAUUUGAGACGACCUUACUAGAGGCCUCUGCCCCCCACCCAGCAGACAGUGUGCCCUACUGUACAGCUACCCAGUUCUGCAGCAAGAUUGCAGAGAUGGGAAGAAGAGUUGUAAGACACUGGGCUCUGAUAUCCACAGCUCCACCCCUUAGAUGGGGGAGGGACUUCUGUGUAGCAUGGGAAUGACGGACCUUUUCCAGGCUCAAGUAGCAGGCAGACAGUGGAUGGAGGCUGAGAGGCAGUGGGUGGUCAGGGGGAAUGUGGACACAGGAAAUGCAGGGCUGGAAGGGGGACACACACUUGGUAGUAGCUUAUUACAAAUAUGGAAGCAGGAAGGAUGGGAGGAGGGCAGACUGGUCCCUCUAGCAUGGGUCCCCCAUGUUCCCCCACAGCAUGCCUGGACCACCCCCACCCGCCUGCAGAAACACACAAUCACAUGUGUCUAGGAUUUAAAGUUAAAAUUUUGCUUGUCAGCUAGGCACAGUGGCUCAUGCCUGUAAUCCCAGUGCUUUGAGAGGCCACCCUCAGGGAGGAUUGCUUGAGCCCAGGAGUUCAAGACCAGCCUGUUUUCAACUCCGUGGACCCUGUGAGGCACACUUCACUCUCCCCAGCCCUCUGGAUAAAACAGUAGUUCCUUAGGAACUUUAACUUCCCCCAAAAUGCUGUGGCCUCCCAGGCAACAUAGCCAUACCCCAUCUCUACAAAUAAUAAUAAUAAUUAGCUUGUCCAACUGCCUAGCUAAGUCCAUCAAUUUCCUGAGCUCAGGGAGUACAACUACUUCUACUGUCAAUUCCUCAUCAAUUCCUCAUCUGCUUUUGGCCCCACACAUUUUUUAGACCAAAGCUCCGGCUGCUGGAGCAUUAUCUUGAAGUGACUGUAGACCCAAUACCAGGAUUCUGCCCUGUCUGUGUACUGCCAGAUCCAACCCAUGUGUCUUGGGGUGGCUAAAUCUGACAAAGGCCCUGAGUGUCUGGGGACACCUGUGAUCUCCUGCAAGGCUGAGGCUAAUGCCACGCUUUUGCAGCUCUUUGCAUGGGCACAUAUGUGAGAGAAUCAGAUAAAAGGUGUUCCCAAAAAGGAUGUUUGUGUUCAGGGUGGAACCUGACGCCUGCCUCCUGCCUUUGGGUCCUCCCUGAUGGCUGUGCCCUCUCAUACCUCGCAAAAGCAAAGAUAGGUAUCAGUGCUGCCUGUCGUCCUGACCUGUGCGGAGUGACGUUGGGAACAUUGUGGUGACCAACACAGCCCUAGCCCUUGCCCUCAGAGUUCCAGUUCAAGGCUGGGAGCAGUGGCUCAUGCCUGUAAUCCCAACACUUUGGGAGGCCGAGGCAGGUGGGUCACUUGAGGUCAGGAGUUCGCAACCAGCCUGGCCGACAUGGUGAAACCCCAACUCUACUAAAAAUACAAAAAUUAUCCGGGUGUGAUGGCAGGCACCUAUAAUCCCAGCUACCUGGGAGGCUGAGGCAGGAGAAUCACUUGAACCCGGGAGGCAGAGGUUGCAGUGAGCCAAGAUUGGGCCACUGUAGUCUAGCCUGGGCAACAGAGCGAGACUCCGUCCCAAAACAAACCAACAAAAAAGAGUUCUAUUUCCAGUGGAGGAAAUAGAUAAUCACAAAACAAUGGCAUCCCAGAGUGGUCGGGGAUGGGGAAAGAACAGGCAAGAAUGAUCAGGGCUUUUGCAGAAGCCCAGGGGACUCCCAGAGCCAGAGGGUUCUACACUUGAUCUUAGCCAAAAGGCCAAGAAGCAAUCUGAAGUUUCUAACUGGGCCUGGGAUGGGAGGUGGGGAGACAGUCCAAGAUUUCCUGAGGCAGGGCCAGCUUUAUGGCAGUGUGACUGUGGGGUUGCACCAUGCCCCAAACUUAGAAGUACCCUAUGCUUGCUUUAAUGCCCUAGUGUCACUAUCUUGAAAUUAAUAAUUUUUGAACAAGGGCCCCACAUUUUGAUUUUGCACUGCGCCCUGCAAAUUAUGUAGCCAGUCCUGCCCGGAGGAGCGAACACUUGAGGGAUUUACAGAGAGAGCCGAGGCAGAGAGGGUCUUCCCAGGAGAGAGAGCAUUGGGUACAAAAGCCAAGAGAGGGCCAGGCGCAGUGGCUCAUGCCUGUAAUCCCAGCACUUUGGGAGGCUGAAGCGGGCGAAUCACCUGAGGUCAGGAGUUCAAAACCAGCCUGGCAAACAUGGCGAAAACCCGUCUCUACUAAAAAUACAAAGAAUUACCUGGACGUGGUGUCAGGAACCUGUAAUCCCAGCUACUUGGGAGGCUGAGGCAGGAGAAUCGCUUGAACUUGGAAGGCAGAGGUUGCAGUGAGCCCAGAUCCUGCCACCGCACACUAGCCUGGGUGACAGAGUGAGAUUCCGUCUCAAAAAAAAAAAAAAAGAAAAAAGAGAGGACUGCACACUCAAAGAAUGAGCCAGAGUUCAGUGUGGCUGGCGCACCAUGGGAGAAGGGCGCACUGUGGGGCCAUGGAGGGUGGAGGGUGAUAAGGUGGAGGGACAGGGUCAGGUUUGCACUUUAGAAAAAUCCAUCUGGCAGCUGGGCGCAGUAACUCACACCUGUAAUCCCAGCACUUUGGGAG
rnacentral:lncRNA from 1 species